rnacentral:lncRNA from 1 species
GGCAGCAGGAGCCCCACUGCGGGCUUGUGGGCACGCCCCGUGAGAGUGGGCCUGGGCGCGGCCCUGGGCCCACGAGACCUGGACGUCCCUGUCACAGCAAAGGCAGGGGCGAGCGCCGUGGGAGGACCCCACCCCUAUACUGACUCUCAUGUGGGGGAGGGGGCGGCGCCCAGGCCUCCCAAAGAAACACGGUCACAUUUUCCCCGGAAAUUCUGUCAGGUGUUUGGAGAAAUGCGGUUGUUUCUUUACUAAAACUGCCCGGGACCUAAUUACAGGACGAGGAGUGUUGCUGGGCCAGGAAGGAAGAAGCCCAGGCCCGUGCUGGUUGCUCCUCUCUCUCUCUCAUCGUGCGGUCAUGAGGGGGUCUUGCAGCUCCCAGACAGCCAUGCCCUCGGGAGCAGGGGUGCAGGGACCGGCAGGGGAGACCUGGAGACCCCCUCAGACAUCCACGAGUUACUCCACGGAGCUGUCAUCCAGCAAGACGACCAGACAGCAAAGGACGCCACGGAAGGACCUCAGCCGCCCCUUGGUGGGGCCGGAGGGCACGCACCCAAAUCACCUGGGGCCGACUUGAGCCACCUCCCCCCUCCAGCAUGUGGGCAUCGGGUCCCCGGUUGCCAGGGCAACCGCAUAAAGGACUCGAGUGUCCUUCUGCAGUCGAGCGUAAUGUCCCCGGAUGCUCGAGAUGCCAGGUCCUAGUAAGACAGGACAAAUGUACCCGGGCGUCACUCAGCCAGGACCGCCUGCUGGACAGGGAGGUGUGGAGGCCGGGCUGACCCCUGACGGCAGGGUGCCCUGGGCACACCUGACGUGCAAAGUGAGUGAGAUGAUUCGGAGAAAGUGGGAUUUCGAUGUUGGUGAGAAGGAGGGCAGUCAUUUCAUUCUUUCAAUUUGUAAGAACUUGGGAAGGUUUUUCCUUCUUAGGUUCCUGUCUUUGCCCUGUUGGAGAUUCGAAGCCUUUAAAGAAGGAAUCGAAAUGUAUUUAGUUUAGAAAUGCAGUUUUAAAUGUGUCGUGGAAUUUAAUUAGUGAAGUUUGUAAAUAAAACCGAGAUUUAAUUUGUUCA